CCUACGGGAGACAGCAGUGGGGAAUAUUGCACAAUGGGGGAAAGCCUGAUGCAGCGACGCCGCGUGCGUGAAGAAGGAAUUCGGUAUGUAAAGCUCUAUCAGCACGGAAGAAAAUGCAGAUACCUGAGUAAGAAUCCCAGGUUAACUACGUGCCAGCAGCCGCGGUCAUACGUAGGGUGCAAGCGUUAUCCGGAUUUACUGGGUGUAAAGGGAGCGUAGACGGCAGUGAAAGUGUGGGGUGAAAGGCGGGGGCGCAACCCCCGGACUGCCCUGGAAACUGUACGGCUGGAGAGCAGGUGAGGUAAGUGGAAUUCCUGGUGUAGCGGUGAAAUGCGUAGAUAUCAGGAGGAACACCAGUGGCGAAGGCGGCUUACUGGACUAUAACUGACGUUGAGGCUCGAAAGCGUGGGGAGCAAACAGGAUUAGAUACCCCAGUAGUC
rnacentral:rRNA from 1 species